GGGGUGGCCAAGAACUGGGGCACCGUGCGCAGCAGCACGCGGCCCGGGCUGCCCUGCCUUCUAGGCCUGGAGCUCGAGCCCCCAGGGUGGCAAUACCAAGCUGGAGGGUAAGCAAGGGUGGAGUAAUAGUGGGGUUGAGGUCUCCGAGGCAAGUACGGAGCGUGCCCCCACCACUUCGAGGCCGCCUAUCCAGGGGCGGUGGCUAGGAUGAGCUCAUGGGGGCGGGGCGCCAAGAUCCCGCCCUUCUCGACCCCCCUCACUGCUCGCGAUGCAGGAUGGUCCCCAAAACAACAUUCAGGAGGGUGCGAGUACCCCCUUCAUAGCUGAGGGCUCUUGAUUACCUGGCUCUAGCCCGCAGACUCUUGCACCAGUUCCCAGCACUCAGAGGGGACAGGCCAGCGAUCCCCUGAUUUCCCGGCCCCAGAAGCCCCUCGAGCCGAGGCCCAGAAGCUCAGCCCUCGGCCUCAACCCGCUGGCGAGGGGCGCCAGGACCCCGAUCGGCGCACGGAGCCCACAGGUGGCGCCGCAACUUCGCGGUUGCGCUGCGCCUUCUCAGCAGGGCCUAGCGCGCUGCCCAGCCUGGCUACCGUGGGGUGCGCCCUGUCCCCAGUGGCUGCUCACCCAGAAGACGAAAUUGAAGACGAAGAGCAGGAUUUCAACAUAGACCAAAGACCAGCAUCUCUUCAGGAAUCCUCUAGGACUCCAGCACUAGAUGGUACUGCUGAGACACCCAGUCUUGGGGACUGAACAACUGCCAGAUUCUUGGCCUUCCCACUGGAAUACUGCUAUUGUUGGAAUACCAGGCUACAGCCGGUAUCCCCUGAACCCUGCACCAAAGGAGAAUGUGUGAUUCCUGGUGAUGUUUGCUGUCCCCCUGACAUCCAUAACUCAAAGACUAUGGGUCAUGUGAUUGAGGAAUAAGCUAGGGAAGAUACAUGAAGAAAACAGUCAAAGAUCUGAUCUGUCCGUGGUUAAAGAUGUGAGCUCGCCAUGUCUUCCACUUGUUGCUAUGCCUUCCUGCGAUGAUGGACUCGCAUCCCUCUGGAACGAUGUUUCCAGAGCGGUCUAACCUGGGCAGGAGUGAGCACUUUCCAGCAAGUGGCUGAGUACUAAAAGGUGGCCCAGUCUAAAGAAAAAGCAGUGUUGGCUGCCUGCCUGCCUUCCCUGGGUCUGGAGCCAGUGUGUCCAUCUGCUGCCACUGUCUUCUUUUGACGUCAGACUGAAGUUUCUUCAGCCUUCUCUAACAAGAACGAAACACCAGUGACUCUUCAGGAAUUUUCCAGGCCUUCAGCACCAGACUGAGACUGCUGAAGCGAUCAGCUUUUUGGACUAAACAGCCUGUUUAGUGUUGUGUAAGUCAAUCUAAUAAAUCCUCCUUUAUAACACACAUUUCCUCUAUUAGUUCUGUCUCCAAAGAACCCUAUUUCAUCCAUAUUGAGGUACCAGUAGUAGGUUCUAGAGAGGCAGAACUCUAAGGAUGAAUUUCUCUAGUGGGCUUGAUGGUGUUUGACUUAGCUCUCCAAUUCAUCUACACUUGGAAUUGCAAAGACUCUACACUUCUCUGGUAGUGUAGAGAGAGCAUUACCAAUCCGUCUUAGGCGUCCAAGAACUGUACAGUGAGUUCACACAUACACACGCAUACAUGUGCACACAUGUAUAAAUAAACAAACAAAUUAAAUAAAUAAAUGUAACUUAAAAAUUAAAAGGAAAGAGAAUGGCUCUUCCUUCCAAGAAUGGAUGUGGGCUGAGAGGUAGCAAAGGUUUGAAUCUCUGAUGGUGCUGAGCCAGAACAGUCAUGAGCCUCUGUGGGUCACAUAGUACUCACAUAGUACCCACAUGCUCCACAUUUGGAGCAUAAAGGGCAGGAGCUUUCCUCGGGGGUGCUCUGUGCCUGGUAUGUGUCCUUUGUUAUAUGUUUCCAGCCUUCUGUUACCAUUGGUCUCUUCUAUAUGCUAAUCUUCAUCCUCCUUUCCCCCAACAUGCCAUGCUAAUGGACAGCAGAGACCAAACAGUGUCCAUAACUGAUCCAACUUGGGUAUCUCAGUGGUGUGUGUCCCUAAAAGUGCAAUAGAUGGGGGUUGGGGGAGGAGCUUACUAAACACUACUCCAUCUGUGUAGACAAAUUACAGAGCAAAUGAAACAUUUACCUUGAAAGACUGGAGAGGCAGCUCAGUGUUUAAGAGCACUGGCUACUCUUCCAGAGAGCCUGGGGUUCAAUUCCCCCCCACCCAUAUGGCAGUUCACAACAGUCUCUAAUGGCUGUAGUCCUAUGGGCUCCAAUGUCCUCUUUUGACUUCUGCAAGCACCAGGCAUGCAAGUGGUACACAGAUAGGCAUGCAGGCAUACCACGCAUAGGGGCCCUGUUUCUGAACACCACAGUCAGAUUAAGUUUGUAUCCUUUUAAUCCUCACAACGAAGAUCAAACUUGGAGACAACAUUAAACUUCAAUUCAACUGCAUCCAAAUCAUAUAAUUACUAAAGGACUAAUCUUAAAGCCAAAGGCAGAAGAGCACGGGGAGGCUGCCCUGGGAUUCACUGAAGUUGCCAUUCAUACAGCUAAUGAUCAGGGGCACUCUGUGGAAUGUGACUUCUUAGGAAUCAUUUAAGAUCGCAUUGGGAGAUUGCAUUGCAAAAUUACAUGGUGUCCUGUGGCAUAUAAUAUGUGUAGCCAAUGUGUGGUGAUGCUUUCCCCGCAAACCAGAAUCCCCCAGCUGGAAGCCUCAGGGGUAGCUGUGGGGGCACCACUUCUUUCAAUAAGAGCGAAUGAACCAUUCUAGGAGUUAUGUAUGCUUCACGCCUUCAAAGACAUUUUCCUGUGUUGGAACUCCUAGUAGCCAACAAAGGAAGAUCCUGGUCAGAGAACAGAAUGUGCAGCAGAGCUGGACACCCGGUGGCACCUGGCUGCUUUGGGCUCCUCCAUGCUGGGUUAAGAGACCCACAAGAGUGCUGGCUGAGUCGUGCUAAAAUGAAGAACUAAGGGUGCUGCUGAUGCUCAUUCUAGGCAGGUUUGGGUAGUCUGGGCUCUGUUGGCCCUCCACAGCAGUAAUAAAAGAAAUAGCAACAAGAGUCAAGAAGAGAUUCUCCCAGGAAUGAAAAACUGGAAAACAAGACAAACCAUGAAUGGUUAAAGCCAUGCAGACUGGCUCGGUAAUGAGCUGCAAGGAUGUGCAUUCUCUUACAGCAUCCAGUGGGUGUUUUUUGUUUUGUUUUGUUUGUGCUGUAUUGUGUAUAUUUUACAAUCUCUAUCUCACUUUUCUUCUUUUUUCCCCUCCUGUCCCACCACCAUUGUAUAUGGGAUCCUAUAUUCCUUUCUCCUUCCCUCCUUUGCACUCCCUUUCUGUGGUUUUGUUUUGAUGUUGUUGUUUCUUUGUUCAUUCAUUUGUUUUUGAAGUGGAGUCUUUCUGUUUAGUCUAGCCUGGCCUCAAAAUCACAAUCCUCUUGCCUCUGCCUCUUUGAGUUUGAAUUACACACACACACACACACACACACACACACACACACACACACACACAAACACACACCACCUUGUUCUGAGUGUUUGCUAAUUUUUAUCAACUUUAUACAAACCUAGACAUAUUUGGGAAGAGGGAAGGAAUUUCAGCCGAGGAGUUGCUUGCAUCAGAUUGUUCUGUAGGCAAGUCUGUGAGGGCAUUUUCUUGAUUAGUGAUGACUCGGGGAGGGCUCAGCCUCCUGUGGGUGGAGCUCCCUCUGGGCUGUAUAAGGAAGGAGGCUGUGCAAACCAUGAGGUACCAACUAGUCAGCAGUGUGCCUAUGUGGUUUCUGUUUGAGUCUCUGCCUCCAGGUUCCUGUUCUGCUUGAAUUCCUGCAUUGGCUUUCAUUAAUGAUGUAUUGUUACCUGGAAGUAUAAGUCAAAUAAAUCCUAUCCUCC
rnacentral:lncRNA from 1 species